rnacentral:tRNA from 1 species
GGAAAGAUGCCGGAGUGGUCGAUCGGGGCGGUCUCGAAAACCGUUGUGCGUUUUUACGCACCCAGGGUUCGAAUCCCUGUCUUUCCG